CCUACGGGUGGCAGCAGUGGGGAAUAUUGGACAAUGGGGGGAACUCUGAUCCAGCGACGCCGCGUGAGUGAAGAAGUAUUUCGGUAUGUAAAGCUCUAUCAGGAGGGAAGAAAAUGAAGGUAACUGAGUAAGAAGGCCCGGCUAACUACCUGCCAGCAGCCGCGGUAAUACGGAGGGGGCAAGGGUUAUCCGGAUUUACUGGGGGUUAAGGGAACGUAGGCGGUGAAGUAAGUUAUAUGUGAAAGGUCGGGGCCCAACCCCGGGACUGAAUUGGAAACUGUUGAACUGGAGUACAGGAGAGGUAAGUGGAAUUCCUGGUGUAGCGGUGGAAUGCGUAGAUAUUAGGAGGAACACCAGAGGCGAAGGCGACUUACUGGACUGUAACUGACGUUGAGGCUCGAAAGCGUGGGGAGCAAACAGGAUUAGAUACCCCUGUAGUC
rnacentral:rRNA from 1 species